CCCACAAACAUGGCAUUGUGUACUUCGAACAAACACACAGCAAUCUCAGAACUUCUGCAGGCAAGAUUUAUUUUGACAAUGUUUGUUUUUCACUAACGUUUGUCAUCAUGCAUGUGUGGUGUUCUGUACCUGGCUGUGCUAAUUACAAACAAGUGCGAAAAUAAGUUCUCUUUCACAAUUUUACCUACCAGAGAUUUACCCCGAUGCUGCCAGUGGCUGAGGCUAUCAAGAAUGAUUCGCCUUACAGUGACCAAAGAUGAUCAAAGGGAUUUUCAGGCUGAAGUGAUGCGAUACCAUCGAUUUUUUCCUUCACAACAAAACGGAUGAUUCUCGAUUAGAGAUGGUAGCAACAUGUGCUUCCAACCCCUAGUUCUGCCCAAGGUGAAGGUUAUCUAUCAUCAUUCCACAGUGGCCUGCUGAAAAAUACCCCAAAGCUGCGGCAUUUUGAGUACAAGCGCAUGAGGGAGCAGACACACCUUGCGGUUAUGGAGGACAACAAGAUUGUAGGACAGAAACCAGCAAGGGACACCGAAAAGGAGACGUGCAGUACCAGCAAAUUUUAUGCAAGAGGACUAAACAGUUGGUGGUUAAGAAUCCCUACAUCACUUUCGGCAGUCUUAUCCAGCUGGCCGUUCAGCGCAGACAAGACAGGAAAAGACCAUUCACCAUAAGCACAAAGAGACUCAGCUUCUCCAGCCCACCAUGCCGAACACCAUUACCAGUGUACCAAAUGCCGGAUAAAGGACUAUGGCUGCAUUUACACAGUCAGCCCAAUUCUGAUAAUUUUUUCACUAAUUAGUCUUUUGACCAAUAAGUUCUGAAAAAGAUCUGAUGCGAUUAAGACCAAUUAGUGGGAAAAAAGAUCAGAAUUGCACUGCCUGUGUAAACACAGCCAGUGUGGCUCAGCAUAACACCAUGUAGAACAGGGGUCUCCAACCCGGUUCCUGGAGAGCUACCCUCCUGUAGUUUUUCUCCAACCCCAGUUGUAACUAACCUGGUUUAGCUUAUCAACCAAUUAUUACAAUUCAGGUGUGCUAGAUUAGGGUUGGAGUGAAAACCUACAGGACGACAGCUCUCCAAGAACAGGGUUGGAGAGCCGUGAUGUAGAAUAUUUUCUAUCAAUCUUUUAAAUUUGUCUGCCUUUAUGGAUUCACAGAAGAUAUUUAUCUAAGCUGUACAUGGCUCUGUAGCAUCAAACAAAUGCUAGACGUUCAGAGAUCCAAAUAAUGUUUUUGUCAAAAUCUAAAAUACGGUGGAGCGUACUCUUUUACGCUAACUCAAGACAACUGGGUAUUCAACAAGAAUGUUAUGGUAAAAGUAAGAUACCAUUUAUUUUUGUAAUGAACAGUGUAGUACAGUUCAGUGUGUCCGAGUGUGUCUACACCUGAGACACAAGUGCAGAGAACUGUAGCUACAGAUUGUUACACCAGAUAGUGAUUUACCCAAAGAUUUUUGCCGACAUCUUGUCUAUUUCAAGUCUUCUCUCAUUGAUCGAGACAGGUGGGUGUCCACCCCAAAGUGUUGCAUGUCAUGAUGACUAAGACCGGUCUUGAUCAAUGAGAGAAGACUUGAAAUAGACAAGAUGGCGGCUUACACAUUGUUGGAUUACUUAAUGGAGCCAAAAAAGUAUUUAUUUUAAUAACAGAGCAUUUUCUCAAUUCAAACUGACCCCCUGCAACUGGACAUGGACAGUUUCUCCAAAUCGAGGAUGAAGACAGCAUAGCUAAGGUUGGUAGAAAAUCCUCUGUGCUACACAAACCAUCCCUAUCAUGUAACUCCCAGUAAUGGAUACCAAAAAUCUUUGAUUAAAUCACAUCUGGUGUAACAAUCUGUAGUUAAGAGAACUGGUGAUCAUGAUGAAAUUGCCAUUCACAGAGAAAAAUACAGUAUGAUCAGUGUAGUAAUGUUCAGGGAAUUCUUGUAAAGCUGUGGGAGGAGUGUUGUCGUGAUCACACUGCCAUUCAGCACCUCAUGAAUCAUCUGCUUGAAAUCCAGCAUUAGGUCUAAUCCCUUGAGAGGGAUACAGUUCAGCUACAAUGACACACGCAGGCAAAGGAAUUCUGUUUCUUUAUCUAGAGUCCACUCUUUGGAAGGCACCACACUUGUCUGUAAGACAAAAAAAGAUUACUCUAUUGUACAGUUUGAACGACAGUUGAACUGUGCCAGCAUAACAUCAACAUUAGGGUACACUAGUUGAACAUGCAUGCAUGUGCACAGAUAUUAUAUUAACAACAAUAUCUAGCCUAAUUAUAGAAAGACAUAUGGCAUAACCCUCAACCUUCGCACAGUGACCAGACAAAUGUACCUAGGUAGGUGGCAUACAGUAUCUACCUACAGCCAUGUCCAUCAGGCAUGCUUAGGCAAAUAUUUUUUUUAAAUAGUAAAACCAGCUUCAGUUUUAGAGAUUUACAACAGUAAAUUGUUGUAUUAUUCUUUCUCCUCACGGUUUGCUAGUAAACUUAGCUAGCUAGCUGGAUAUACAAUACCUGUUAUUUACAUCUGUUUGGAAUACCUAUAAUUGCCUAUAAUUUUGUGAGAUUGGUUAUGAUUGUGACUGUGGAUGCAUUUCAAUGUCAUCACUCGUCAAUUAUGUUACAUAGUUAGUAAAAUUAUGUACAGUUGCUGUUGCUGAUGUUACACGUUUGCUAACAAGUUACAAACGCGAGGCGUGGCACAUGAAUUAGCAGGCGCCAGGCUACUAGCUAGUCAACUCAUGUCCUAACGUUUGCUGGUAAACCUAGUUUAACCCUCCCGUUGUCCUAGGGUCAAAAUGACCCGCCACUGUG